rnacentral:lncRNA from 1 species
GGACACUCUCCUUUACUGAGUCCACCAGUUCAAAUGCUAAUCUUAUCCUGAAACACCAUGACGGCGCCCUGUGACCAGUCAAGUUGCCGUGUAAAAUAACCUUGACAGCUGUUAUAAACAUCCCUGUGCAGAUUUUUAUGUGGACAUAAGGCUCAACUCCUUUGGAUAAAUGCCAGACAAUUCAGCAGAGGACUCCAAGACCCAAGGCGAUGAUGGAACCAGGAGAUAUGAAGACGCAGGGUCCCUGAAUCACCACUUGAAAGCAGACAUCUAGAAGACCCAAUGGAACGGGUACCCCAUACUGUUUGGUUGUAACAGGAAAUUUGGAUACACGGAGAGAGACACCAGGGAUGAGCAUGCACAGAGGAAAGACCAUGUGAAGACACAGCGAGGAGGUGGCCACUGCAAGGAAAGGAGAGAGGCCUCAGGAGAAACCAACCCUGCUGACGCCUCCAUCUUGGACAUCUGGCCUCAAGAACUGUAGGGCAUAUUAGCUAGCAGACCGGUGCUUCCUAAUAGGACAACUAGAAAAUUUAUAUAAAAAUGCGCAAGUUUUCUACAUGAGGGCG